UCCUACAUGCGUCUAGUGGAUAGGGAUUCCAUGGCUUUCACCCAGGCGGGCCCGGGUUCGAUUCCCGGUGAAGGAA
rnacentral:tRNA from 1 species